UGGAUGUGGCCUUUCACCCGGGGGGAAAGACAGAAGGGGGACGGAAGGGUUGACGUGUUGGAGGGAGACGUUCGCGGGGAUUUAGGGGAGAGGAUUUUCGGCAGGGACGUGCGGGUGGGUGUCCUGUGGCUGAUGCAUCGGUCAGAGGGUUGUUGGAGGGAUGGGAGGCCAUGCUGCUCUGGGAUCGAGAUAGAGAGACAGAGGGAGAGGGAGACCGAGCGACAGAGAGAGAGGGAGAGGGGGUACAAUCAGAGAAAAGCAUGGGGGCCGUCGGGAUUUGAGGGGUAGGUUGAUUUCCAGGGAUUUCUCAAACCUUCCUUGCCUCUUCCGUCUCGCAGACCCCGCGAGAACGACGGUCUCUCCUCCAUGCUAUCCUCCUCUCGCCGCCGUCUCCCUUCUCUCGCCUCCGUCGUCUUACUCCUCCUUUCUCUGUCUCUAGAAUCGAUCGAUCUAUUCGAAGAGGAUACACAGUUUUUUUGGGGGCGAAGAUUUGAUUGGGAUUUUGAAAUGGAAGCUCGAGGGAGCAGCAGGAGCCAGACGGAGCCUAAGAAACGCCAGAGAUAGUGUUCUCGAACAGAAAUCGCCGGCGGAGUUAUUUGCGGAGAACAAGAACAUUGCUGGGUUCGAUAAUGUUUGUGAAGGUCUGUGAAUAACAGUUGAUGAAAAAGUUGCAGUUUCGGAAAUGACUGUCAGCAAUCAAGACGUGAAAAAGAAGUCUUUUAUUCAUAAAAUCUUCACCACAAAGGAGAAAGAAGGAAGCGGCUCUUCGAAUUUCUCAGGUGAGUGUCUAAUGUGUUUCUUUCUGGUUUCAAUUCAAUCACUUAUCACCAUUGUUUUCCAUUUUAGAAAAUCUAGAGAGAGAGAGAGAGAGAGAGAGAGAGAGAGAGAGAGAGAGAUGAUAUUCCUUGCAAUUGGGGACUCAUAUUAUAGUUGACGUUAUCUUUCUUUUUGGAUACGGACUGCAGAAUAGAAUCCCAUCUGCUUUUUGAAGGAUGUGAUUUACUUUUCUUUUUUUGAAUGGAUUUGUUCUUCUUUAACUGUUUGGAAAGAUAGGGACAUUGGUCCAAGUUCCAACCAUAUAUGACAUUUGCGGUCUAAAAAUGGCGUUUUUGGUAAGAAAGAUAUUGAUGACUACAGAGAGAGGGAGAGCACCAUGGAAAUGUAAUAAAACCACCAAGCCGUUAUAAAUCUCUUCGAUUCUCUCUCUCAGAAACUAUCAAAGCACAACAACCUCUUGCUGAAAAAAAGUGAAUUUGGUCCCAAUUCGAAGGAAAUUUUAAGCCCAGAAAAGCCUUUGUUUCUUGAAUUUUGCAGUUUAUUUUGGGGGUUUACACUCAAAUUGAGAAAGCACACAUGAACGCAAAGGCUCGAGGAUGUACGACAACUUGGAUAUGAUAGGGUUGUACUCUUUGGAAUUCCAGCCUUGAGCUUCUUCUUGCCUGGUGCCUUCUCAUUGAGUAUUGGAGCAUUAAAACACAGGUCAUCAGCUUCUGAUUAAUGGAGAAACGAGGGCCAUGCCACUGAGUUUGGGUUCUUUUCUAAUUUUCUGAUUUUGGGGUUUUGCAGGGAGUGCUGAUGUACUGAUUUGCUGGGAUUUUUUUUUCCUCGCAGGAUUUUUGGUCUUUGAAAUGUGACAACUCAGUCAACUAUGAGUAGAUGUAUAGCAGCCUGCUUCAGUGCUCACUUGGUAAAGUUUUUUGGUCACAUAAAGGUGCUGGAAUUGGGAACUUUUUGGAUCUUAAAUCUUUGGUUGCCUAACAUUCUCUAUAUCGAAAGGCAUCGUCUUUGUUACCACAUUUUAUAUAUUUUAGACGAUGAAUUUGAGUGCAGUGGACUAUGAGUCAGUGAACAGGGAGUUAAUUUUGUUGAUGAGAUUUGGUUAAAUGUCUAAUACACAUAGGUGCUUAUGUUUGUUUACAUUGGUUGUAAAUUCUUGCUUUCUUUUCAAUUUUGUUUUAUUGUAAUUCUUGGUUUAUGGAUCUUGCAUUGCUUACAUGACAUGGUUAUAUUUCAGUGUUUGUGAGAUGUCGAAUUGUGUGUUUGUGGCUUAGUGAGAGUUAGAUUUAGAUUGUGUAGAAAAUGUGGGCUUCGGAGUGUAACCCAAUUAGUAAUUUGGAGUGACUGAGGAGAAGUAUUCUGAGCUGCAGUGGGACUUGGUGAGACCAUGCUGUCGGGAGAGAGUGAGCGAGCAGAGAGAGAAGAGAGGGAGGGAGGGAGAGAGAUAGGGAUUUGGUGAGAGGAAGAGAGAGGAGGGCUGCGAAUUUUGACUCGGGGAGAGAUGACUGCCUGUUGCUUCGGUCAGAGCGUCGUUGGGGGAGGAGGACAGAGGGACUGACAGGUUGGAGAGAAGUGGGAGCUAGGGGUUUCGACUCAGUGAGAUUGUGAGAGAGUGGAGGAUGGCAGAGACAGAUGAGAGGGAGCUGGGCGUGGGAAUUGCAGAGAGAGAAAGAGAACUCAGAAGAUAUUUGUUUUGUUGAGAGCUGACAAGAAAAGGGGAGAAACAAUGAAAAAGUGACAGAAUCUGAGAAUCUGAAGUAAAAAAUGAUUAGUGGGGUUUUAGCUUCUGGCACUUUCUUCCCUGCUUUCUAAACCCAUUUUUCUCUGCACCCCUUCAAACUCUAGAAGUGUUUACACAGAUUGGAGCUCAAAAGCGCCAGAUUUUAUGGAACAAAUGGUCUCAGAGAAGCUGAUUACACUGCACAGUAGCAGCACAGGACCUGGUGGGCCUGGAUUUGCCACUUGAAGAUGACGUGGUCCUGAUAGUCGGUCACUUCCGCGACAGUUCCGAACAAAGGAUUCAGUUCCCAAGCUCCGACGAUUGUGUCUGGCAAAGAGAAUUCAGGAAGAGUGGAAGAUCCUGGAGAAGGAUUUGCCAGGCGAGUUCUUUUGUUUUUUAUUUUGAAUUUCCUUUUAAAUAAUUGUUUUGAAUUAAUGGUAGUGAAGUUUUCCCAUACUCAGCCUAUUCAUUUUUAUCAAAUAUUUUGCACCGACUAUUUCAUGAUGCUGACUGCUGUAAUUAAUUUGGUUUUGUACUGAAAGUUGGAGUUGAGAAUAUAUGGAAUAUAGUUGUUGGAUUGGUGUCUGUACUAUAGAAACUUAGGUGUGCUUACCUCCUUUUCAUUGACAUCCACAGUUUAAUAUUUGUUAGAGCUUAUGAGACGCCGUUCAAGUCGGACCAUUGGUGAAUGCCUAAACUUUUGUUCUUAAAUGGAUUCAUCAACUCAAUUUUGUCGUUAAUUUUUGUUUUGAGUCCGUUUUCCUUGCUGCUGUUGUGUUAGGAUUUUAAGCUCAAUCGUUCAGGCAUGACACAUUUGCAGUGGGAAGUCAUAAGCAUAAUUCAUUUUUCUUAAAUUAGACUCAAGAUUCUUAUGUGCAUUAUACUUCCGUUUUACGAAUUUAAUUGGCUAAGCCUUAAUGAUGUUGUUGAUGAAUCUUCACGAAAGUCCGUUUCUCUUUUAAUCAUUGACUAAUUUUUUUCUUCGUUGGCAGUAGAGGCGAAAGGUUCUUGUGAUUUGAAUCGAAUAUAAACUAGUCGAGGCGAAAGUAUAUGUGCUGUAUGCACAAAUGCAUAUAAACUAGUAGAAUCUAUAUAUACAUGAUUUGAUAUGUUAGUGAGGAUUCGAGUCACAAAUGCACAAAUGCAAAACAAUGGCAUUUAAGCUAGUUGGUUAGUGAGGAUUCGAGUCAUUAAGGCGCCAUCUGUCUUUAUUUGAAAUCUGAAUUCAUUGAAUGAUGAAUGAGGUUGUAGUGUGAGAGAAAUUGAGAAAGUAAAGAAAAGAUGGAAGAUGAAGCUACAAUUAUGUGACAGACAAUAAUGAUGGAUCAAUUCAUCUAUGUUGGUUUAUUAAACUUGGUAAUGGAAUUGCAAAUCAAGUAUAUCUUAGGUUCUUAGUUGCAUACCCUCCUUCCCACAACUAUUAUAUUGUCUCUUGAUUGGAUGAAUUUUUAUAAUUUUCUAGAUCUAUGGUUACAAUGCUUUUUAUAAUUUCCUAGAUUUAUCAUUUUAGUUUGUUCAUGAUUUGUUGAUUUUUUUUAAGGUUAAAUGUGUUUUAUUCGAGUAGUUAAGGUUGAUGCAUUCAAGUUCCGUAGCAACGAGCGGACAUUUUUGUCUAGUUUAAAACAAAUAAUAAAUCCUAAGUGUAUAGAUUUCAUCCAACUUUAUGCAUGCGCUACAAGUCAACAAAUAGUGUAUUGUCUAAACUAAUAGGAAUAGGGGUGGGUUGGAAAAACCGAAAACCGAAAAAAACCGGAUCGAAAAUCGGACCGAAACCGAAAAAACCGAAAAAAAAAAAAACCGAACCGAAUUGGUUGAACCAAACCGAAUCGAAUAGUGUCUGGUUAGGUUUCGGUUUCUAGGGUUCAGAAACCGAACCGAACCGAACCGAAGUAUUCAAAACGAUGUCGUUUUAUGCCUAAUUCUAAAACGCCACCGUUUUAUGCCUAAUUCUAAAACGUAAAACCUAAACCUAGGGUCUUCUUCAUCCGCUCUCAGUCUCUCCGUCUCCUCUCUCGGUCUCGCCUCGCUCUCAGCCAUUUUCUCGGUCUCGCCUCACUCUCAGUCUCUCCGCUCUCGGUCUUCUUCAUCCUCUCUCAGCCUCAUCUCUCUCACAGACUCUGUCAAUCUCAUUCUCUCUCAAGGCUUAAGCUCACUGUGACCAUUCUCAUUCCCAAUUCAUCCUCUCUCAAGCUCUCGCUGAGUCGCUGUGACCAUUCUCAUUCCCAGCAAAAGGUCAGAGCACUGGAAGUGGAAGCUCGAGUCGUAAACAGGUCAGAGCACUCUGACAUCAACAAUUAGCAGUGGGCGUCGGGCGAGUUAUCAUUAGAAGUGACUCAGGUGCUUCAAAAAUUCUCUAUUAUUUCUUGUUUGAAAACUUCGAUUGAAACCCAUCUGUUUCCCCCAAUUCAUGUCUUCAUUCAAUUUGUUUAAAAUUAGGGUUUUUCUUCCAUUUUUUUAAAAUACAUGAUUGUAUUGAAUUUUGGUGAAAUUUUAAUCCAAAGAACAAAGA